UGGUUUAAUUAGUUUUACUAAGAUUUUAUUUGUUUUUCAUAAUUAAUUUUAAAAGUAUUGGCGGUAUUUAGUUGAAUUCUGAGGAACUUGUUUAAUUAAAGUGAUAUUACACAGUAAAUUUUAUCUAUAAUUAUUUUAUGUAUUGCUGUUUAAUUUAUUAUUAAUUAUUUAAAUGAAUGAAAAAUAUUAGUAAAUUAAUAUCUCAAGUCAAAAUGUAGAGUUUUAUAGGGUUGAAUGAGUUACAUUUAUAUUGAUAUAUGAAAAAAAAUAAGUUAAAUGAAAUGUUUAAUGGAAGAGUGGAUUAGGGAGUAAAAAGAGAGUAAUAAGUUUUUUUGAUAAAUUUUACUAGUAUGU
rnacentral:rRNA from 1 species